rnacentral:rRNA from 1 species
UUGUCCUACGGGGCGCAGCGGUGGGGAAUAUUGGACAAUGGGGGGAACCCUGAUCCAGCGACGCCGCGUGAGUGAAGAAGUAUUUCGGUAUGUAAAGCUCUAUCAGCAGGGAAGAAAGAAAUGACGGUACCUGACUAAGAAGCCCCGGCUAACUACGUGCCAGCAGCCGCGGUAAUACGUAGGGGGCAAGCGUUAUCCGGAUUCACUGGGUGUAAAGGGAGCGUAGACGGCGACGCAAGUCUGGAGUGAAAGCCCGGGGCCCAACCCCGGGACUGCUCUGGAAACUGCGGCGCUGGAGUACGGGG